GAGAAUGUGGCUCAGUGGUAGAGUGUGUGCUUAGCAUGCACAAAGUCCUGGGUUCAAUCCCUAGUUCCUCC
rnacentral:tRNA from 1 species